GCUUGUCUCAAAGAUUAAGCCAUGCAUGUCUAAGUGUAAAUAAGUCUAUACUGUGAAACUGCGAAUGGCUCAUUAAAUCAGUUAUCGUUUAUUUGAUGAUCUCUUACUACUUGGAUAACCGUAGUAAUUCUAGAGCUAAUACAUGCACAAAAUCCCGACUUACGAAGGGAUGUAUUUAUUAGAUACAAACCAACAUCGUGGUGAUUCAUAAUAACUUGACGAAUCGUAUUGCUUUUUAAGCUGACGAUGAUUCAUUCAAAUUUCUGCCCUAUCAACUGUGAUGGUAAGGUCUUGGCUUACCAUGGUGACAACGGGUGACGGGGAAUUAGGGUUCGAUUCCGGAGAGGGAGCCUGAGAAACGGCUACCACUUCUAAGGAAGGCAGCAGG
rnacentral:rRNA from 1 species